rnacentral:tRNA from 1 species
GGGGCUGUAGCUCAGUGGGUUAGAGCAGAGGACUCAUAAUCCUUCGGUCGCGGGUUCGAGUCCCGCCGGCCCCACCU